AUUUGGGUCCACGGAUUCAACAAGGAUCAGGGGACAUAAUUCUUGAGUUUGGACGAGAAAAAAAAACACAGCUUUAUUUUCACGCACAAAUGUAACUGAAAUUUAGCAUUUUCAUUAUUUGUGAAUAUAGGCAACAAAUCCUGGUGUAUAAAUACUCUCUGUGAUUUUUGUCAUCCACAAAAUUACAGAUACUCUCCUAUCUUACAUCAGGUUGUUGUCGGUACAGGCAGACCUCAUUUCAUUGCACUUCACUUUAUUGCACUUCACAGAUACUGCAUGUUUUCUUUUUUACAAAUUAAAGUUUUAUGACAACCCUGAGUUGUCAGAUGAUGGUUAGCUUUUUUUUCCUAAGCAAUAUUUUUUAAUUAUGGUCUACGCUUUUUUAAAAGACAUAAUACUAUUGUUCACUUAAUAGACUACAGUGUCUGGAACCAAGCCUGCAGGAUCUCUGAGCUACCAUGUUGUGAGCUGCUCUACAGGAAAGAACGAAGAACCAUCUCAGGUCAACAGUCACUGAGGAACUAAAGCUUUCAGUUUGACCUCCCAUGAGAAACCAAAUCCUGCCUACACCCACGAGUGAGCUUUGGAAGCAGACCCACCCCCAGUUGAUCUGAAGAUGACUGCCAUCCUGCCCAGCUCCUAGACUGCAGCCUUGUGAGACAUCCUGAACCAGAAGACUCAGCUAACCAUGCCCAGAUUCCAGACCCACAGAAACAUGAGAAAAGAGAUGUCUGUUGUUUUCAUAUGUAUUUGAUUC
ensembl:lncRNA